GGCGUUAUCCCUCUUGAGCUGAGAACGAAGGCGAGGGGGUUGGUGUGGGGGCAGGCUGACGGCCGUGUUAGCGGGGUGUUGAGCACUGAAGUGCGGACCUCCAGCUGCAGACGUUAGCUAUGGCUCCGUAGGGUGUGAUGAGUGCUUUACCAGGCGCUCAUCCUCUACCCAGCCCACCUACCCCUGUGACAUGGGCCGCUCCCUUCCCGGCGCGGCCCUUGUCAAUUGUCUAUCACUCCUGAGCUA
rnacentral:siRNA from 1 species